CAGUACUACUCCGUCUUCCCUCUGCUAGACUUACGUCGCGGACUGCUCCGGACACCCUCCUCCGCCUCGCCGUUGACCACCGCCUCAGCACCAUCAGGCACCGCCUCUACACUAUCCCCAACCUCCACUGGCCUCUCUUCCAUUGCCGGCCUUCGAUUCCUUGCCCUUCGACACUCAAACAGAUAUUUGAAACGAAGGCUACUGACGCCAAACCAGGUACGCCGACGUCGUCCAGAUUAUUACGGUAGUCGCCGCUGAACGAAAGCUGCUAUCAAUCGAAGUUGCUGCUCGGAGAAGAAACUGUCCGGCCACCGCCUCCGGAAUUGCUGCGGGGUGAGUUCAUUCUUUAAUUCUCGAUUAUACAUCCCUUUAUACUGGUCAGCUCCCAACAAUAUCUCCUUCCUCUACCAAUUCAGCCACACAAGAAACCUUUGAUCUUGGAUCCUAUUCGCCAUAUCCUACGAACUGUGUAAGUAAGGAUUUUUCGGAACUGUGUUUUCUCUCCCGUGCGAAAACCAUAAAACACUUCCUGGCUUGACUCUCUCUGCUAUUUCAAACAUCUCACUUUCUCAUUUGUUCUUCAUAUAUACACGUGUGUAUCUCCCCGGUGAUUUGCCGCUUGGUUUUAAGUUUUUCGAGUCGGAAUCGGGCUGCUUUUUGCUGUUUUCUAUUGCUUCCCCCAAAUUCUACUGCUUUCUUGCAACGAUUACUUAGGGUACCAGCAACGACUCCAUGGUUACUCUCUCUCCUCGUCGACGGCAGCAGCCGGAAGCAGUGCAAGCUGGCAACUUUCGACGGUGGCGGCGGACCAGCGUCGGCGGUAGCGGACCAGCGUCGGCGGUAGCGGAAUGGGGCAGUGGCGCGGCUGGACCUCUCCUCCGGCCUUCCUCUUCUGUCGUCGAAUGAAUGGCUAUUGGCUAGAAAGUCAAUUAAACUGCUUAAAUGGUUGCCACAUCUACAAAACAAAACAAGUGUCUGCCUAAUCACUUCCACAUCAUCAAGUUAUUACCUUUAACUUGAAGGCUACCUGUAAAAAAGGCUAGGCGAACAAUUUUUUUUGGUUUGUGAACCAAAUAAUCACUUAUGUAAGAUUAGGGUGCGGCAUGACAUUUUGCUAUUGGUUCAUGAUGCUAUUUGACACUUCACCCUAUUUUAAAUUGUAUAUUGAUGUAAUUAAGUCAAUUAAUUAGCUACUUUUUGUUAUUAA